rnacentral:lncRNA from 11 species
GUGAACACCACAUUGCCUGAAUUCAACUGUUAUGCUUAAGACUAUCUUUCAAAGGGAUAAUAACACUAGCAUUCCACUGAGCCUUCAAUCAUCAGUACCUUUCCAAAGAAUUUCAGCAAAAUCCAGACAUUUGGACAGUGGGGGGAGUUUUUGAAGCAUUCCCAUUGGCUGUACAUUUCUGACCCAUCCUCAGAUGCAUCCUGAUUGAAUUCCCUCUGUCUGUUGAUCCAAAAUAUGAG